rnacentral:rRNA from 1 species
UACGUAGGUGUCGAGCGUUGUCCGGAUUUAUUGGGCGUAAAGAGCCCGCAGGCGGCUUGCCAAGUUCGAGGUGAAAUCUCCCGGCUCAACUGGGAGGGUGCUCCGAAAACUGGCAGGCUUGAGUCAUGGAGAGGGAUGUGGAAUUCCCGGUGUAGUGGUGAAAUGCGUAGAUAUCGGGAGGAACACCAGUGGCGAAGGCGGCCCCCUGGCACAACACUGACGCUCAGGUGCGAAAGCGU